rnacentral:misc_RNA from 1 species
AUAUUGAUAGGUCUGUUUCUGUUAGAGAUAUUCCAGCUAACUUAAAGGAUAUUUCCUGUCUGGUAUCUUAGAUUUUGUUCAUUAGCAUGCCGUGAGGAUGACCUGCUUUGCAUGCAUGCUUCUCCUUUUCCCCAUUGCCACUAUUGUCCAGUGGGUUUGGGGUUCACCGUUCAUCUGAGUUCCCUUUAUAAAUUGAAUGCAAGCAAUGGUUCAUUCGGACUCUUAGGAUACAUCUCAGGUCCUUAUGUUUACACUGAGGCCCAAAUCGAUGGAUAAGAGGUGGAUAAGUUAUCUUUA